CAAGUGUUUUUGAUAGUUCAGCAAUUCUGUAUUGUUGUCAAUCUUGCCACCCCAGUCGUGAUGAAAUCUCUCCAGACUCCACUGGCUGACACUGUCCACCUUAGAGUCUCCAUUUGCCCAGGGCUGACUCAAGUGGUAACAACCAGGUGGAGUAUUACAAGAAUGUAAGACGUACACCAACUCCGUGCAAAUGAUCUAGAAGGGAGUAUACCAACCUGUUAGCUGUGAUUGCUUUGGUUGGCAUACGAGUGGAUUCAACUUAUAUUAAAAACAAAUGUGACUUGUAGCACAUGCUGACUGCAACUUGGAGGCUGGUAUCAUAGCUACUGUGAUAAAACAGGUUCAAAAUAUUUUUAUUGUACCAUAUUUAGAUAGAUCUAGUCCUGUUGGCCGUAGAGGAUGGUGGGUCAAAAUGGGCAAGUCUUGGGGU